AGAUUGAACGCUGGCGGCAUGCUUUACACAUGCAAGUCGAACGGUAACGCGGGGGCAACCCUGGCGACGAGUGGCGAACGGGUGAGUAAUACAUCGGAACAUGUCCUGGAGUGGGGGAUAGCUCGGCGAAAGCCGGAUUAAUACCGCAUACGCUCUGAGGAGGAAAGCGGGGGACUCGUAAGGGCCUCGCGCUGCGGGAGUGGCCGAUGUCGGAUUAGCUAGUGGUGAGGUAAAGGCUCACCAAGGCGACGAUCCGUAGCUGGUCUGAGAGGAUGAUCAGCCACACUGGGACUGAGACACGGCCCAGACUCCGUACGGGAGCAGCGAGGUCGGGAUUUGGACAGUGGGGGCAACCUGAUCCAGCCAGUCGCCG
rnacentral:rRNA from 1 species